GUGGGGAAUCUUGCGCAAUGGGCGAAAGCCUGACGCAGCCAUGCCGCGUGAAUGAUGAAGGUCUUAGGAUUGUAAAAUUCUUUCACCGGGGACGAUAAUGACGGUACCCGGAGAAGAAGCUCCGGCUAACUUCGUGCCAGCAGCCGCGGUAAUACGAAGGGGGCUAGCGUUGCUCGGAAUUACUGGGCGUAAAGGGCGCGUAGGCGGACAGCUUAGUCAGAGGUGAAAGCCCAGGGCUCAACCUUGGAAUUGCCUUUGAUACUGGCUGUCUUGAGUUUGGGAGAGGUGAGUGGAACUCCGAGUGUAGAGGUGAAAUUCGUAGAUAUUCGAAAGAACACCAGUGGCGAAGGCGACUCACUGGCCCAAUACUGACGCUGAGGCGCGAAAGCGUGGGGAGCAAACAGGAUUAGAAACCCUGGUAGUCC
rnacentral:rRNA from 1 species